rnacentral:rRNA from 1 species
CCUACGGGUGGCAGCAGUGAGGAAUAUUGGUCAAUGGGCGCGAGCCUGAACCAGCUAAGUAGCGUGAAGGAUGACUGCCCUACGGGUUGUAAACUUCUUUUAUCAAGGAAUAAAGUGAGGCACGUGUGCCUUUUUGUGUGUACUUUAUGAAUAAGGAUAGGCUAACUCCGUGCCAGCAGCCGCGGUAAUACGGAGGAACCGAGCGUUAUCCGGAUUGAUUGGGUUUAAAGGGAGCGUAGAUGGCUUGUUAAGUCAGUUGUGAAAUUUUGCGGCUCAACCGUAAAAUUGCAAUUGAUACUGGCAGCCUUGAGUACAGUUGAGGUAGGCGGAAUUCGUGGUGUAGCGGUGAAAUGCUUAGAUAUCACGAAGAACUCCGAUUGCGAAGGCAGCUUACUAAACUGCCACUGACAUUGAUGCUCGAAAGUGUGGGUAUCAAACAGGAUUAGAUACCCUAGUAGUC